UGGUGGAGUGAUUUGUCUGGUUAAUUCCGAUAACGAACGAGACCUUAACCUGCUAAAUAGCCAGGCCGGCUUUGGCUGGUCGCAGGCUUCUUAGAGGGACUAUCGGCAUCUAGCCGAUGGAAGUUUGAGGCAAUAACA
rnacentral:rRNA from 1 species